rnacentral:rRNA from 1 species
CUACGGAGGAUGCGAGCGUUAUCCGGAUUUAUUGGGUUUAAAGGGAGCGUAGGCGGGAGCUUAAGUCAGCGGUUAAAUGGUGCGGCUCAACCGUGCCCUGCCGUUGAAACUGGGUUUCUUGAGAGUGCAAGAGGCGGAUGGAAUUCAUGGGGGAGCGGUGAAAUGCUUAGAUAUCAUGAAGAACUCCGAUUGCGAAGGCAGUCCGCUGGGGCACGUCUGACGCUGAUGCUCGAAGGUGCGGGAAUCAAACAGGAUUAGAUACCCUGGUAGUCCGCACGGUAAACGAUGAUUACCCGCUGUCGGCGGCAGACAGUCGGCGGCCAAGCGAAAGCGAUAAGUAAUCCACCUGGGGAGUACGCCGGCAACGGUGAAACUCAAAUGAAUUGACGGGG